AUGUCUUUCACCGGCACGCAGGACAAGUGCUUUGCGUGCGAAAAGACGGUCCAUUUCAUCGACCUCCUCACGGCGGACGGCGUCAUCUACCACAAGACCUGCUUCAAAUGCAGCCACUGCAAAGGGAUCCUCUCGAUGUGCAGCUAUUCUUCCAUGGACGGUGUCCUCUACUGCAAGACGCACUUCGAGCAGCUCUUCAAGGAGACAGGGAGCUUCUCAAAGAAGUUCACACCGGGUAACAAAUCUGGCGACAAGAAUGAACUGUCAAGGGUCCCAAGCAAGCUAUCCGCUGCCUUCUCCGGUACUCAGGAUAAGUGUGCAGCCUGCACGAAAACAGUGUAUCCACUCGAAAAGAUGACUCUGGAGGGCGACGCAUACCACAAGAGCUGCUUCAAGUGCUCCCACGGGGGCUGCAUCCUAACCACCUCCUCCUACGCCGCCCUCAACGGUGUCUUGUACUGCAAGAUCCAUUUCCAGCAACUCUUCAUGGAGAAAGGAAGCUACAGCCACAUGAAGAAGAAGAGCCCCUCGCAGGAGGUGUUGCCCGAUUUGGUGGCGGCAGCCGAAGAGCAACCGGCCGCAGAGGCGGCACCGCCGCAAGAUGAAGAAUAG
rnacentral:rRNA from 1 species